ACCAACCAGGAGCAGAUAAUUGAAGAUUUUCAGUGUUUGUUAAUCACUGAUGACAUGCUUUGGAAGUACUCAAAACAAAGGAAGUUUGGAUUGUGAUGGCUGUGUGACAAUCUGAAACUCAACUCUACUGUGCUUAUCUCAAUCAAGGAAACAACAAGGCCUGAAGGAAAAGUUUGGUGCAUGGUGUUCCUGGGACUUUUAGAACCUCUUAAACCCCAAGUGGGCUCUGGCAAUAAUAUCAGGAAGAAUGAAGCCUCCACUUAAUAAAGGAAGAAUGACUUCAGUGUGGUAUCAAAGAUAAG
rnacentral:lncRNA from 1 species